AGGUAAGCUACUAAGAGCGAAUGGUGGAUGCCUUGACUGGUAAAGGCGAUGAAGGACGUACUAGACUGCGAUAAGCUACGGGGAGCUGUCAAGAAGCUUUGAUCCGUAGAUUUCCGAAUGGGGCAACCCAAUGUAUAGAGAUAUACAUUACCUAUAUAGGAGCGAACGAGGGGAAUUGAAACAUCUUAGUACUCUCAGGAAAAGAAAUCAAUAGAGAUUGCGUCAGUAGCGGCGAGCGAAAGCGCAAGAGGGCAAACCCAGUGCUUGCACUGGGGGUUGUAGGACUGCAAUGUGCAAGAGGUAAGUUUAGCAGAACAUUCUGGAAAGUAUAACCAUAGAGGGUGAUAGUCCCGUAUGCGAAAAACAAACCUUAGCUAGCAGUAUCCUGAGUAGGGCGGGACACGAGGAAUCCUGUCUGAAUCCGGGUCGACCACGAUCCAACCCUAAAUACUAAUACCAGAUCGAUAGUGCACAAGUACCGUGAGGGAAAGGUGAAAAGAACUGAGGUGAUCAGAGUGAAAUAGAACCUGAAACCAUUUGCUUACAAUCAUUCAGAGCCCUAUGUAGCAAUACAGGGUGAUGGACUGCCUUUUGCAUAAUGAGCCUGCGAGUUGUGGUGUCUGGCAAGGUUAAGCAAACGCGAAGCCGUAGCGAAAGCGAGUCUGAAUAGGGCGCUUAGUCAGAUGCUGCAGACCCGAAACGAAGUGAUCUAUCCAUGAGCAAGUUGAAGCUAGUGUAAGAACUAGUGGAGGACUGAACCCAUAGGCGUUGAAAAGCCCCGGGAUGACUUGUGGAUAGGGGUGAAAGGCCAAUCAAACUUCGUGAUAGCUGGUUCUCUCCGAAAUAUAUUUAGGUAUAGCGUUGUGUCGUAAUAUAAGGGGGUAGAGCACUGAAUGGGCUAGGGCAUACACCAAUGUACCAAACCCUAUCAAACUCCGAAUACCUUAUAUGUAAUCACAGCAGUCAGGCGGCGAGUGAUAAAAUCCGUCGUCAAGAGGGAAACAACCCAGACUACCAGCUAAGGUCCCUAAAUCUUACUUAAGUGGAAAACGAUGUGAAGUUACUUAAACAACCAGGAGGUUGGCUUAGAAGCAGCCAUCCUUUAAAGAAAGCGUAAUAGCUCACUGGUCUAGUGAUUUUGCGCGGAAAAUAUAACGGGGCUAAAGUAAGUACCGAAGCUGUAGACUUAGUUUACUAAGUGGUAGGAGAGCGUUCUAUUUGCGUCGAAGGUAUACCGGUAAGGAGUGCUGGAGCGAAUAGAAGUGAGCAUGCAGGCAUGAGUAGCGAUAAUUAAUGUGAGAAUCAUUAACGCCGUAAACCCAA
rnacentral:rRNA from 1 species